UACGUAGGGUGCGAGCGUUGUCCGGAAUUAUUGGGCGUAAAGAGCUCGUAGGCGGUCUGUCGCGUCGGUCGUGAAAACUUGGGGCUUAACCCUGAGCUUGCGGUCGAUACGGGCAUGACUGGAGUUCGGCAGGGGAGACUGGAAUUCCUGGUGUAGCGGUGAAAUGCGCAGAUAUCAGGAGGAACACCGGUGGCGAAGGCGGGUCUCUGGGCCGAUACUGACGCUGAGGAGCGAAAGCCAGGGGAGCGAACGGG
rnacentral:rRNA from 1 species